ACCAACAAUCCUAAGAAAUAAACUUUGCUUUGCUGGAGUCCUCCUAUGUUUUCUGUGGCUAUUCCCUGUCUGGCUUUUAGCUAACAUAUGGUGCCAAAACCCGAGAAGAGGAAUGACUGGGUUACUUAUAAGCCGGUCCCCUCUUACUGAACCAUGCUGCUGACCAUGCACUCCCGCAACUGGCUUGCCUAUGCCGGCUCCCACCACUCACCACAUCAGGCUGGAGAUUAUGAGUCCAUCUGCAUUCCUCACCCUCUGACAGAGUUUGGGGGGAAAAAAAAAGGAACAGAGCAAAAAGGUCAGCUACUCUAGCAGUCCUGAUGGGAAGCAGCCUGGUAUAAUCCAUAGCCGCCACGGGAUUCACAGCAGGGAGUCUGGGACAUACCUUGCUCUCAGCCCAACACCUCCUCAGGAGAUCCAGGACCUCAAGCAGAAACUUACUAUAGUAGUGGAAGCAACAGCCCAGUCAAUCCAGAUCUCACAACAGCAACUGUCCUCCCUAGCCGAAGUUGCCCUCCAGAAAAGGACUUUGUCCAGAUGGACAAGCUGGAGACCCCUGCUGCCUGAUGGGACCCUGACUCCAGCCUUCCCUUCCCCAUGUGGACCUUGACCAGCAGGAAGUACUCAUGAUGAGAAAAUGCCACCCCCUAUCCUAUAACAAAAAAGGCUGUAAUGUUAGAGUCCAGGUCUGCAGAUGACC